rnacentral:rRNA from 1 species
GCUGGAGGUAUCAGAAGUGCGAAUGCUGACAUGAGUAACGUUAAAGCGGGUGAAAAGCCCGCUCGCCGUAAGCCCAAGGUUUCCUGCUCUACGUUCAUCGGAGCAGGGUGAGUCGGCCCCUAAGGUGAGGCUGAGAAGCGUAACUGAUGGGAACAAGGUUAAUAUUCCUUGACCACCGCUGAAUGCGAAGGGGGGACGGAGUAUUGAAGAUCAUCCGGGUGUUGGAUAUCCCGGUUUGCGAGCGUAGGAGGCUGACAGGCAAAUCCGUCAGCGAAUCUCCGAGGCAAAGCAUCGAGCUCUCUUUUGAGCGAAGUGAUUGGAUGUGCUUCCAGGAAAAGCCUCUAAGCUCCAGUUCAGCGGGACCGUACCGCAAACCGACACUGGUGGGCGAGCUGAAUAUGCUCAGGCGCUUGAGAGAACUCAGGAGAAGGAACUCGGCAAAUUGACACCGUAACUUCGGGAUAAGGUGUGCCUUUGUAGCGUGGAGGGAGAAACACCCCGAGCGCGAAGAGGUCUCAGAUAAUCGGUGGCUGCGACUGUUUAUUAAAAACACAGCACUCUGCAAAGACGAAAGUCGACGUAUAGGGUGUGAUGCCUGCCCGGUGCUGGAAGAUUAAUUGAUGGGGUGCAAGCUCCUGAUCGAAGUCCCAGUAAACGGCGGCCGUAACUAUAACGGUCCUAAGGUAGCGAAAUUCCUUGUCGGGCAAGUUCCGACCUGCACGAAUGGCAUAACGAUGGCCACACUGUCUCCUCCUGAGACUCAGUGAAGUUGAAGUGUUUGUGAUGAUGCAAUCUCCCCGCGGCUAGACGGAAAGACCCCAUGAACCUUUACUGUAGCUUUGCAUUGGACUUUGAACCGAUCUGUGUAGGAUAGGCGGGAGCCUGUGAAACCACAACGCCAGUUGUGGCGGAGGCGUCCUUGAAAUACCGCCCUGAUUUGUUUGAGGUUCUAACCUGGGACAGUCAUCCUGUCCGGGGACCGUGCAUGGUAGGCAGUUUGACUGGGGCGGUCUCCUCCUAAAGGGUAACGGAGGAGUGCGAAGGUACGCUAGGUACGGUCGGAAAUCGUGCUGAUAGUGCAAUGGCAAAAGCGUGCUUGACUGCGAGACCCACAAGUCGAGCAGAUACGAAAGUAGGUCAUAGUGAUCCGGUGGCUCUGUAUGGAAGGGCCAUCGCUCAACGGAUAAAAGGUACUCUGGGGAUAACAGGCUGAUACCGCCCAAGAGUUCAUAUCGACGGCGGUGUUUGGCAC